GCUUGGGAAGACAGGUCCUUAAGAGUGUACAAGAUGUUUGCACGGAUCGUGAGGAGGAAAAAUACAACAGCUUUGUUCAUGAUGUUGAUAUGAUCAUCAAUCUGCUUCUCUCGCUGUCAGGAGGAUGGCGCGCGUGGAGAAUACGAUACAGAUGUUACAUCCGGACACUGAGGACCAAGAACGGGAACAGCUUGUUGAGAAACGACGCAAGUUAUCGGAUCAACACGAAGAAGCGAAGCAAUUGAAAGCAAACAUUGAUCGUCGGCAGAAAACUGUGUCGGAAAUUCUCGCUGGUUAUUUUAAUCAAGAACAGUUUGCGAAUUACGAG